CCCAACUUUAGAUUCCAAAACCAAAUUUAUUCAAUAAUGCUCCCUACUUAGACAUAAGCAAAAGGCAAAAUUUGCAAACAACUCGGUUUGAGGGUUCAAUUGAUACGAAAGAAAUUAGGAUUCAUUUAUUCCAAAAUUUUCAAUUGAUUUUACAAUUAUCAAUCAAAUGAAUCCUAAAAUAAGCUCAAAGGGGGUUAACUAAGGAUUACUCCUCACAAGGUUAGUUGAUUCAAACUUUUUGGUCAAGUGGUUUUUCUCAACAAACAAUGCCUCUAUCAUUUUCAAAAUUUUCACAC
rnacentral:lncRNA from 1 species